UUACCUCCCCCUUGCUUUUCUGUUUUGAAACAGGGUCUCCUGUAGUCUAUGCUGGCUCCAAAUUCAUUUUUAGCCAUAACUGGCCUUGGAUUUCUGAUUCUCCUGGCUCUCUCCACGUGCUGGAAUUGAAGUCAUGUGCCACCAUACCCAAUUCAUCUGCUAUUUUCUUUUAAAUUUUUAUUUCAUCAGGUUAAUAUAUGCAUAGAGUUAAAAAAAAGAACUACCUCAAGACACACAGUAAAGAUAGCAUUAUUAUCUCCCAAACUUCUGGUCUCCUAGGAUAAUUCUUUCAGCUACUUCUGACAACAUUUAUUCUCACAUUUCUAGGGAAUAUUCUUAUGCUAGUUUUGGAGGAGGCAUAGAAUGUGCACACGCUCUUUGUGUGUCCAUGUAGGUGCAGUGUGAGUGGGUGUGUGCAUGCAGGUACAAUGUGAGUAUGUGUGUGCUUGCAUAGGGAAGCUAGAGGUUGAUGUCAGCUCUGGUACUCAGUCACCACCCACCUUCUCUUUCUUAAGACAGGGUCUCUGGCUGACCUGGAGCUCGCUGAGUUGACAGACUGGCUGGCCGGUCAACUUCAGGGAUCCAGCUGCCUCUCCCUUCCCAGUGCUGGGGUGCACGCUGCUCUACUAUGGGGUUUUAGGAAUCCCAACUGGCCCUGUGGUUGUGUCGUAAGUGCUUCAGAGACUGAGCCAUCUCCAAAUUCCCUAAUAUUUUUUUCUUCAGCUCAAGAUUUUAUUCAGUGGCCUUCUAUUAUUUAACUUGAUAGUGUGACUCUGUUUUCCCCUGUUCCAUAAAUACACACAGACACACUUCCUUUCUACCCACUGUAAUUGUUUUAUAGUUUCUGGCUUGUUAAUCAAUAUUGACUUGAUAAUCAUUAUAUGACUAUGAUAUCAAGCUGAGUCAUGCGGUGUAUGCUAUAAUUGUAUUUGUAUGACCUGUGCUUUCCCAGGGGUUCAUAGUUACUUUCUCAUAUCCUUCACUUUCCUCUUUGCUUAUGUAUUUAUUGAGACAGAAUCGUAAUGACACAGCCCAAGGUGAUUUCAAACUUGACAUCCUCCUGUGUAAGCCUCCUAAGCACUGCCCAUUCAGUAUGGUACUCUUUUCAGAGUGUUUAUGGCAAGUGCGUAGGUCUCUGGUGAGAGUCCAUCCCAAGCUACACAUCCCCAACUAUCCUUAUUAUUGCUGUGUAAUCUUUUCCCUUCUCAGAAACCAAGAGCCCAAGGAAAAACUCCAGCCGAAGGAUUACAGAAAACGUUCACAUGUAUCUCUACAACUGCAGCUUUCUCUUUCUCAGGAAUUGGGGACUAGAAAGAGGCCAGUGAGAUGUGGAGCGACCCGAGAGGAGGCAGCAAAAGCUAAGAAGUAGGAAGUAGAACACGGGAAACAUUCUCUGAUGACCCAAGAUGGGGAGCUGAGUGGUCUCAGCCAGCCAACUGUGUCCUCUGCCCUACUGCAGAUGAACAAGUCAUACUGUGACUCACCCGAACAUUUAGUGUGGAAAUAAAAACUUCAAGAUCAGAGUUCCCUAUACAGAAUGGAUGGGAAGGCCACCAGGGCGCAUAAACUGUGAUCGGAACAAUUGUGUUUGCAGUUCUCUGAGGGUAUCAAUUACUGUGCUUCCCAUAAUUCUCCAAGAGUUCCCUCAUUAGAUCUUCAAGAGGAUGAAUUCAGAAGAGAACAGAACCCUCGUGACGCUGAAAGGACACUGCUGUGAUUUGCCACUUGGCACAGGCAACUCAAGACGACGUGGUAGAAGUAACACAGGACAACGCCUGGUUCCUGUGGGUGGGCCCCCGCUAGAGACCCAUUGCCCCCGGGAAUCCAUCCCAACUGCCUAUCAGGACAGUAACGUUUUGGUCCAUGCUCCAGACGCCCCGGAUAUGGACUGAAGAGGCAUGUUUUUCUUUUUCUUUGCAAACGGCAGGAUCAGCAAGUCCUAUUGGUAGAGCCCUUGCCUGGGCUUCUUCACAGUCAAUCUGUCUUGGUACAGACCACUGGAUGGAUUCCAUAUGGGUAAACCAAGACAUUCAGAGUCACCCAGGAAAGCUCUUUUUGGUGACCUAGGAAGGCUGCGGCUGUGGCGGCAGGUGUGAGUGGUGUUCUUAGAGUUAUCCCACCAUUCAGAUCUCUCAGGCUAGCUGGAUGUGGUGGUCCACACCUUUCAUCCCAGCACUGGGCAGGCAGAAGGAGGCAGCUGGGAACUGGGCACAAGCACAGACUAUGAGGUGGCAUCCUACUGCAGGAAGACAAAUCCCAAAGACAAAAUCCUCCCAGAGGGCACUAAUAAUAGAGUCGGGAGAGUUAACAAAGCUCGGUUGAAACUGUGCAUAUGUGAAUUAUGAAGGGGGUUUGGGGGGCUUGUCAAAAUAUGUUGGAACCAUUUGGAGUCCUGGCCUCCAGCUGCUCUUCCCUGCUAGAGAUCUUUACUUCCCUUCUGAUUUGAGUUACUGAAAGCUGUGUCAAAGUUGUUUACCAGCUCUGCUUCACGAGCACGUGUGUCAAAGUUGCUUACCAGCUCUGCUUCACGAGCACGUGUGUCAAAGUUGUUUACCAGCUCUGCUUCACGAGCACGUGUUGCUUUGCCUUGAGGAUCAGAGGAUAAGGUUUUCACCUGUUGGCCCACCUGACUGUUGGGUAUAUAAGCCUCCGUGGUGCUAUUGAAU